CAGCUUCCCUGCUGGACUAACUGCAUUACUUGCCACAUCGUAUGGAAUGUGUUGUUCAGUGCCAGGCCUGUUUAGUUUUGUACACCUGACCAAAGAGUUGGGCAGGGUUUUGGGGUUGGGGGAAACUGAAUAUUACAAUCCACCUCUUAAUGGCCAUGAUGCCUUUACCGAAAUAGAAGAAGUAGCCUCUCUUUUCCUCCAGGGAUCCUCAUUUUGGGUCUGCUUUGGGUGAUUGGCUCAUAAUGGAUGCCCUUCGCCAUUCUUUUGGAAAUAUCUAGUGGUGAUUUUUUUUUUUUAACUUUUCUAGAAGUGUGAGAAGCCAAGAAGGAAAUGACUACCUCUAGAAGGCCUUUCUUGAACUCUUUGACGGAGCUACAAUGGAGAUGAUGUGGUCCACCUUAUAGGAUUAUGAUCAACUCACUCUCUCUGGAUAAGUCCUUCCUCAGCCUCCCUCGCAUCAAUUCAGCAUCAGCAAGGUGCAGAACUCGUCUGCUGCCUAGAGAUUGCCUCAGAGGUCUUGCAAGGGGAGAAAUGUCCACCCAUGGAAACCGCCUACACACGGCCCUCCACCUUAUCUUUCUGUCUUGUGAUGACCUUGUUGGAGAUGGCAGCACCAAAGAUGGUUAGAGCCUGGAUGCCUGCAUGACUGCACGGAGCAGAGCCCUCUCACUCCACCACUGGUGCCCCCUAAUGGAC